AUUGAACGCUGGCGGCAUGCCUUACACAUGCAAGUCGAACGGCAGCACGGGAGCAAUCCUGGUGGCGAGUGGCGAACGGGUGAGUAAGGUAUCGGAACGUGCCCAGUCGUGGGGGAUAACGUAGCGAAAGUUACGCUAACACCGCAUACGAUCUAUGGAUGAAAGCGGGGGAUCGCAAGACCUCGCGCGAUUGGAGCGGCCGAUAUCAGAUUAGGUAGGUGGUGGGGUAAAGGCCCACCAAGCCGACGAUCUGUAGCUGGUCUGAGAGGACGACCAGCCACACUGGGACUGAGACACGGCCCAGACUCCUACGGGAGGCAGCAGUGGGGAAUUUUGGACAAUGGGCGAAAGCCUGAUCCAGCCAUGCCGCGUGCAGGAUGAAGGCCUUCGGGUUGUAAACUGCUUUUGUACGGAACGAAAAGGACUGCCCUAAUACGGUGGUCCCAUGACGGUACCGUAAGAAUAAGCACCGGCUAACUACGUGCCAGCCGCCGCCGUAA
rnacentral:rRNA from 1 species